rnacentral:rRNA from 1 species
AGAGUUUGAUCCUGGCUCAGGACGAACGCUGGCGGCGUGCCUAACACAUGCAAGUGGAGCGACGAACCAGGGCUUGCCCUGGGGCCAAGCCGCGAACGGGUGAGUAACACGUGGGUAACCUGCCCCGAUGACCGGGACAACCCGAGGAAACUCGGGCUAAUACCGGAUGUGGUGUACACACUUAAGUGUGUCCACUAAAGGAAGCUUCGGCCUCCGCAUUGGGAUGGGCCCGCGGCCCAUUAGCUAGUUGGUGGGGUAAAGGCCUACCAAGGCAACGAUGGGUAGCUGGUCUGAGAGGACGAUCAGCCACACUGGGACUGAGACACGGCCCAGACUCCUACGGGAGGCAGCAGUGGGGAAUCUUGCGCAAUGCGCGAAAGCGUGACGCAGCAACGCCGCGUGAGGGAAGACGGCCUUCGGGUUGUAAACCUCUUUCAGGAGGGACGAAGGUCCGCCCGCGAAUAGCGAGGCGGAUUGACGGUACCUCCAGAAGAAGCCCCGGCUAACUACGUGCCAGCAGCGGCGGUAAUUC